rnacentral:misc_RNA from 1 species
GAAAUGCGAUAAGUAAUGUGAAUUGCAGAAUUCAGUGAAUCAUCGAAUCUUUGAACGCACAUUGCGCCCGCCAGUAUUCUGGCGGGCAUGCCUGUCCGAGCGUCAUUUCAACCAUCAAGCCCCCGGGCUUGUGUUGGGGACCUGCGGCUGCCCGCAGGCCCUGAAAACCAGUGGCGGGCUCGCUGUCACACCGAGCGUAGUAGCAAUCACCUCGCUCAGGGCGUGCUGCGGGUUCCGGCCGUUAAACAACCUUACAAAACCCAAGGUUGACCUCGGAUCAGGUAGGAAGACCCGCUGAACUUAAGC